AAAAGACGCUGUUGAGCUUGACUCUAGUCUGGCACUGUGAAGAGACAUGAGAGGUGUAGAAUAGGAAGGAGGCCCCAUCCCGGGGGCGCCACUGCUGAAAUACCACUAUUCUUAUCGUUUCCUCACUUACCUGGCGAGGUGGGAGGGCGAGUCUCUUGUUUCUGGCACCCGCUGGCCACGGCCCACUCCGGAGACAGUGGCAGGUGGGGAGUUUGACUGGGGCGGUAUACCUCUCAAAUGGUAACGCAGGUAUUCUAAGGCGAGCUCAGGGAGGACAGAAACCUCCCAUGGAGCAGAAGGGCAAAAGCUCGCUUGAUCUUGAUUUUCAGUAUGAAUAUAGACUGCAAAAGUGGGGCCUCAGGAUCCUUCUGACUUUUGGGGUUUCAAGAAGGAGGUGUCAGAAAAGUUACCACUGGAUAACUGGCUUGUGGCGGCCAAGCGUUCAUAGUGACAUUGCUUUUUGAUCCUUCGAUGUCAGCUCUUCCUGUCAUUGAGAAGCAGAAUUCACCAAGCGUUGAAUUGUUCACCCACUAAUAGGGAACGUGAGCUGGGUUUAGACCGUCGUGUUGCUGGGUCUGGGU
rnacentral:ncRNA from 1 species